rnacentral:lncRNA from 1 species
GACCCAGUGCUGUAAGCCUGUAAAUUUGCAGAUACCUUGGGUAUUCCAUAUUCUUUGCACAACCUAUUUCUAAAUGGAAUUGCUUUUAGUUUGCCUCUUAAUUAGUUCAUAACCAUUGACCUAAUGUGCUUUCUCAUUUCCUGCUAUGAAUUAGAAAUGAAAAGAAAUUGAAGCAAUCUAUUGUUAUUCAUUUUUACUAAUCUACCAUGGUCCUUGCAAAUUUCAAUUAUCCAAAUCGUUUCAUUCUUUUUUAACUGCACAAACUAAUAUCAAAAUAACCUGGUGAGUUAUGGGUCUGUAUGUAUAAUACCACAUGUUGGAAAAUUAUUACCAUCUUUUGCAGUUUUAGACAAUAGCUGUCAAAAUUAUGUUGUUUCUUUAUAACUUUAAAGAGGUUAUUUGAAAUCUUUCCUAGGCUCAGAGGUUCUUCGUGUGAAGUGAAGACUAUGGAUUCCACCUCUGUGGAAGGCUCAGCUGCUCCUCUGCAGAACAGCAGAGUAUAUGCCCCUCUCGAGCUGCUGUGUGUGUCAAGCUCUUUGGCGGAGUGAGUUGCCGUAGGCACCAGGAACACACCUCCAGACUGAUUGGCUGCAACCCACCCUUGUUCCAGCUCAGAUUUAAGAUGUUUGAGCUCCUUUGUUUUACUAAUUUCCAUGUGUCCAGGAUCUGGUGCUGGGACGCUGGUGUCGGGUAGGCUUCAUCCUCGAAUCAUGUGUUGCAGCAAGAUGGCAGCAUCAGUUCCAACAUGACACUUCUUCCAGCUACAAAUGAAAAAAUGCAAGAGAAAACUUUGGUAACUAACUUAGGGAAAGCUUGUCUCAGAGGUGAUGCGUCAGCUAAACAUGGAAAGGUAAGUAGACAACAAACAGGGAAGGAUGUAUUAAAAGAAAAACAACUUAACCAAAG